UCUCGCAGCUCCGUUGGUUAGAGCGCUGUAUCGGAAUCGCAGGGUCGCAGGUUCGAUUCCUGCAGAG